UGGGGCGUCGCCAAGUGGUAAGGCAGCAGGUUUUGAUCCUGCCAUUCGAUGGUUCGAAUCCAUCCGCCCCAUCCA
rnacentral:tRNA from 1 species